GUGAGGGAAAGGCGAAAAGAACCCCGGCGAGGGGAGUGAAACAGAACCUGAAACCGUGUACGUACAAGCAGUGGGAGCCUUCGUAAGAGGGUGACUGCGUACCUUUUGUAUAAUGGGUCAGCGACUUAUAUUCUGUAGCAAGGUUAACCGUAUAGGGGAGCCGAAGGGAAGCCGAGUCUUAACCGGGCGUUAAGUUGCAGGGUAUAGACCCGAAACCCGGUGAUCUAGCCAUGGGCAGGUUGAAGGUUGGGUAACACUAACUGGAGGACCGAACCGACUAAUGUUGAAAAAUUAGCGGAUGACCUGUGGCUGGGGGUGAAAGGCCAAUCAAACCGGGAGAUAGCUGGUUCUCCCCGAAAGCUAUUUAGGUAGCGCCUCGUGAACUCAUCUCCGGGGGUAGAGCACUGUUUCGGCUAGGGGGCCAUCCCGGCUUACCAACCCGAUGCAAACUGCGAAUACCGGAGAAUGUUAUCACGGGAGACACACGGCGGGUGCUAACGUCCGUCGUGAAGAGGGAAACAACCCAGACCGCCAGCUAAGGUCCCAAAGUCACGGUUAAGUGGGAAACGAUGUUGGAAGGACCACACAGACAAGAUGUUGGCUUAGAAGCCGCCAUCAUUUAAAUAAAGCGUAAU
rnacentral:rRNA from 1 species